rnacentral:rRNA from 1 species
AGAACGAACGCUGGCGGCAUGCCUAACACAUGCAAGUCGAACGAGACCUUCGGGUCUAGUGGCGCACGGGUGCGUAACGCGUGGGAACCUGCCCUUAGGUUCGGAAUAACAGUUGGAAACGACUGCUAAUACCGGAUAAUGUCUUCGGACCAAAGAUUUAUCGCCUUUGGAUGGGCCCGCGUUGGAUUAGCUAGUUGGUGGGGUAAAGCCUACCAAGGCGACGAUCCAUAGCUGGUCUGAGAGGAUGAUCAGCCACACUGGGACUGAGACACGGCCCAGACUCCUACGGGAGGCAGCAGUGGGGAAUAUUGGACAAUGGGCGAAAGCCUGAUCCAGCAAUGCCGCGUGAGUGAUGAAGGCCUUAGGGUUGUAAAGCUCUUUUACUGGGGAUGAUAAUGACAGUACCCAGAGAAUAAGCUCCGGCUAACUCCGUGCCAGCAGCCGC